GCCCCUGUAGCUCAGUUAGGAUAGAGCAGCGGUUUCCUAAACCGCGUGUCGCCUGUUCGAGUCAGGCCAGGGGCG
rnacentral:tRNA from 1 species